rnacentral:rRNA from 1 species
GACGAACGCAGGCGGCGUGCCUAAUACAUGCAAGUAGGACGCACAGUUUAUACCGUAGCUUGCUACACCAUAGACUGUGAGUUGCGAACGGGUGAGUAACGCGUAGGUAACCUGCCUAUUAGAGGGGGAUAACUAUUGGAAACGAUAGCUAAUACCGCAUAACAGUAUGUAACACAUGUUAGAUGCUUGAAAGAUGCAAUUGCAUCGCUAGUAGAUGGACCUGCGUUGUAUUAGCUAGUAGGUAGGGUAAUGGCCUACCUAGGCGACGAUACAUAGCCGACCUGAGAGGGUGAUCGGCCACACUGGGACUGAGACACGGCCCAGACUCCUACGGGAGGCAGCAGUAGGGAAUCUUCGGCAAUGGGGGGAACCCUGACCGAGCAACGCCGCGUGAGUGAAGAAGGUUUUCGGAUCGUAAAGCUCUGUUGUUAAGGAAGAACGAGUGUGAGAAUGGAAAGUUCAUACUGUGACGGUACUUAACCAGAAAGGGACGGCUAACUACGUGCCAGCAGCCGCGGUAAUACGUAGGUCCCGAGCGUUGUCCGGAUUUAUUGGGCGUAAAGCGAGCGCAGGCGGUUAGAAAAGUCUGAAGUGAAAGGCAGUGGCUCAACCAUUGUAGGCUUUGGAAACUGUUUAACUUGAGUGCAGAAGGGGAGAGUGGAAUUCCAUGUGUAGCGGUGAAAUGCGUAGAUAUAUGGAGGAACACCGGUGGCGAAAGCGGCUCUCUGGUCUGUAACUGACGCUGAGGCUCGAAAGCGUGGGGAGCGAACAGG